rnacentral:rRNA from 1 species
UACGUAGGUGGCAAGCGUUGUCCGGAUUUACUGGGCGUAAAGAGCGCGCAGGCGGUCGUUCAAGUCGCGUGUGAAAGCCCCCGGCUCAACUGGGGAGGGUCACGCGAUACUGAUCGACUCGAAGGCAGGAGAGGGAAGUGGAAUUCCGAGUGUAGAGGUGAAAUUCGUAGAUAUUCGGAAGAACACCAGUGGCGAAGGCGGCUCACUGGACUGGUAUUGACGCUGAGGUGCGAAAGCGUGGGGAGCAAACAGG